GGGGAUAUGACGAAGUGGUAUCGUGCGUCAUUUGCAUUGACGAAAUCCUGGGUUCGAUCCCCAGUGUCUCCA